rnacentral:rRNA from 1 species
AUUGAACGCUGGCGGCAGGCCUAACACAUGCAAGUCGAGCGGAUGAAGAGAGCUUGCUCUCUGAUUCAGCGGCGGACGGGUGAGUAAUGCCUAGGAAUCUGCCUGGUAGUGGGGGACAACGUUUCGAAAGGAACGCUAAUACCGCAUACGUCCUACGGGAGAAAGCGGGGGAUCUUCGGACCUCACGCUAUCAGAUGAGCCUAGGUACGAUUAGCUAGUUGGUGAGGUAAAGGCUCACCAAGGCGACGAUCGUUAACUGGUCUGAGAGGAUGAGAAGUCAACAUGGGACUGAGACACGGUCCAUAUGCCUACGGGAGGCAGCAGUGGGGAAUAUUGGACAAUGGGCGAAAGCCUGAUCCAGCCAUGCCGCGUGUGUGAAGAAGGUCUUCGGAUCGUAAAGCACUUUAAGUUGGGAGGAAGGGCAGUAAGUUAAUACCUUGCUGUUUUGACGUUACCGACAGAAUAAGCACCGGCUAACUUCGUGCCAGCCGCCGCGGUAAAAC